rnacentral:rRNA from 1 species
GUACGGGGGGGGCAAGCGUUGUUCGGAAUUACUGGGCGUAAAGGGCUCGUAGGCGCCAACUAAGUCAGACGUGAAAUCCCUCGGCUUAACCGGGGAACUGCGUCUGAUACUGGAUGGCUUGAGGUUGGGAGAGGGAUGCGGAAUUCCAGGUGUAGCGGUGAAAUGCGUAGAUAUCUGGAGGAACACCGGUGGCGAAGGCGGCAUCCUGGACCGACACUGACGCUGAGGAGCGAAAGCCAGGGGAGCAAAGCGGG